rnacentral:rRNA from 1 species
AGUGAACGCUGGCGGCGUGCCUAAUACAUGCAAGUCGAACGAACGAAUAAGAGCUUGCUCUUAUAAGUUAGUGGCGCACGGGUGAGUAAUAUAUAGCUAAUCUGCCUCUUAGUAGAGGAUAACAGUCGGAAACGAUUGCUAAUACUCUAUACUUCUGCUUUACAUAAGUAAAGUAGAGAAAGUUUUUCGCUAAGAGAUGAGGCUAUACUGUAUCAGCUAGUUGGUAAGGUAACGGCUUACCAAGGCUAUGACGCAUAACUGGUCUGAGAGGAUGAUCAGUCACAUUGGAACUGAGACACGGUCCAAACUCCUACGGGAGGCAGCAGUAGGGAAUAUUGCGCAAUGGGGGAAACCCUGACGCAGCAACGCCGCGUGGAGGAUGACACUUUUCGGAGCAUAAACUCCUUUUAUCGGGAAAGAAUAAUGACGGUACCCGAUGAAUAAGCACCGGCUAACUCCGUG